GGCAGUUUGGCACGCUGGCACUGCACUAGCACUGUUGAUACUGUACUGUAUUAAUAUGGCAAUAAUACUGAUUACGACUAGCAAUUGAACCUAAGAAAUACACCAUGGAAUUACAAUGACAAAGGAAUACAUGCGACAUGACAAAGGCGGGAUAAAACUGGUAUUAGGGCAAAGCAGAGAAGCAAAGAAUAAACAGUUUAGCAUUCCUCUUCAUGUGUCUCAGGGGAUUGAUAACAUCCUGCAGGCGAUGGUCCCCUUGUACCAUCUGGAGGAGGGGAUGAAGACGCCGCCAGUCAGAGGAGAUUGCUGCUGCACACAUACACUAAUCUGCUUACUUAUUUAAUUUGAAAUAAACAAUAAUUAUAUUGACUAAUAAUCUGCUCAUGUAUUUUGGUCAAGCAAAUCACAAUGUAGCAGUUAAAUCAUGAUAACCUAAAUGAUAAUGUAAAAUAAAUAAUUGCAAUUAACCAUAAGCUAUAUUGUACAGCAGGCUAUACAAAAUGUUUAUAUGGGGAAUGGGUGUGUAAUUACCACACAUUAAUAAAUGCGCUGACAACACCGUUCUGCCUGUGAGAAGGAUAACAUAAAAGCUUAUCUGGAUAAAGAAAUGAUAUUGUCCAUGUAGAAGAUAAAUAAAAAAGAAUUUUAUUAGUGUA